rnacentral:rRNA from 1 species
UAAUACGAGGGGUGCAAGCGUUAUUCGGAAUGAUUGGGCGUAAAGGGUGCGCAGGCGGUACAUUAAGUCAACUGUUUAAUCUCUCGGCCUAACCGGGAAAAAGCGGUAGAUACUGGUGUGCUAGAGUGUGGGAGAGAGAAGUGGAAUUCUCGGAGUAGCGGUAAAAUGCGUAGAUCUCGAGAGGAACACCGAUGGCGAAGGCAGCUUCUUGGCCCAUUACUGACGCUCAUGCACGAAAGCGUGGGGAGCAAACAGG